ACCCUCUGAGCUAAGUGGGC
rnacentral:tRNA from 1 species